UACGUAGGGGCAAGCGUUGUCCGGAAUAAUUGGGCGUAAAGGGCGCGUAGGCGGCAAGGCAAGUCAGCAGUGGAAGUCCCAUUUUCAAGGUGGGGAGGGCUGUUGAAACUGCGUUGCUUGAGUGCAGGAGAGGUUAUCGGAAUUCCCGGUGUAGCGGUGAAAUGCGUAGAGAUCGGGAGGAACACCAGUGGCGAAGGCGGGUAACUGGACUGCAACUGACGCUGAGGCGCGAAAGUGUGGGGAGCAAACAGGAUUAGAUACCCGGGUAGUCCCUGAG
rnacentral:rRNA from 1 species